UACGUAGGGUGCAAGCGUUGUCCGGAAUUAUUGGGCGUAAAGAGCGUGUAGGCGGCCUGGAAGGUCAGCUGUGAAAACUCGAGGCUCAACCUCGAGACGUCGGUUGAAACCACCUGGCUAGAGUCCGGAAGAGGGGAGUGGAAUUCCCGGUGUAGCGGUGAAAUGCGCAGAUAUCGGGAAGAACACCCGUGGCGAAGGCGGCUCUCUGGGACGGUACUGACGCUGAGACGCGAAAGCGUGGGGAGCGAACAGG
rnacentral:rRNA from 1 species